CAGGAGGCUGUAAAACGGCACAGGGCUCUGUCUCUGUGUUUGUGCAACAACAGCACAACUCAUAGUGCUUAUAUCUGGCAGGAUAACCCCACAGGCAGGAUAACCCCACAGACAGGAUAACCCCUCAGACACUAUAACCCCUCAGACACUAUAACCCCACAGGCAGGAUAACCCCACAGGCAGGAUAACCCCUCAGACACUAUAACCCCACAGACACUAUAACCCCACAGGCAGGAUAACCCCACAGGCAGGAUAACCCCACAGGCAGGAUAACCCCACAGACAGGAUAACCCCUCAGACACUAUAACCCCUCAGACACUAUAACCCCACAGGCAGGAUAACCCCACAGGCAGGAUAACCCCACAGACACUAUAACCCCUCAGACACUAUAAACCCACAGGCAGAAUAACCCCUCAGACAGGAUAGCCCCACAUACACUAUAAACCCACAGGCAGGAUAACCCAUCAGACACUAUAAUCCCACAGGCAGGAGAACCCCACAGACAGGAUAACCCCACAGGCAGGAUAACCCCACAGACACUAUAACCCCUCAGACAGGAUAACCCCACAGACACUAUAAACCCAUAGACAGGAUAACCCCACAGGCAGGAUAACCCACAGGCAGGAUAACCCAACAGACACUAUAACCCCACAGACAGGAUAACAGGAUAAC
ensembl:lncRNA